GCCUUUGUGGUGUAGUGGUCAGUACGCUGGGCGCGUAUUCCAGAAGUCCGUGGUUCGAGUCUCGGCAAAGGCG
rnacentral:tRNA from 1 species